CCUACGGGAGACUGCAGUGAGGAAUAUUGGUCAAUGGGCGGGAGCCUGAACCAGCCAAGUCGCGUGAAGGAAGAAGGUACUUAGUAUUGUAAACUUCUUUUGUCGGGGAACAAAGGCGGAGACGCGUCUCCGGCUGAGUGUACCCGAAGAAAAAGCAUCGGCUAACUCCGUGCCAGCAGCCGCGGUAAUACGGAGGAUGCGAGCGUUAUCCGGAUUUAUUGGGUUUAAAGGGUGCGUAGGCGGAAUGCCAAGUCAGCGGUAAAAUCGCGGGGCUCAACCUCGCUCCGCCGUUGAAACUGGCGUUCUUGAGAGGGUGAGAAGUAUGCGGAAUGCGUGGUGUAGCGGUGAAAUGCAUAGAGAUCACGCAGAACUCCGAUUGCGAAGGCAGCAUACCGGCGCCCAACUGACGCUGAAGCACGAAAGCGUGGGUAUCGAACAGGAUUAGAUACCCCAGUAGUC
rnacentral:rRNA from 1 species